UCAACAUAUAUAAUCUAAGGUCAGAGUCCUGGUGUCAGUAGCUUGCCUUAUCCUGAUACCAGAAUUAUCUUCGGCAUGUUUCAAAAUUUCAACUAAGGACCAUGAAGUUCUUGGCAUUCCUUGUAAUACUGGGUGUUGCUGCUAUCCUGGUUUCUUCUGAUGAGCCAAUCACAGAUGAACCUACUGAGAAAGCGUCUCAUUCCCAAGGUGAAUAUGGGUUCAUUAUAAGUAUAUGUAAAAAAAUAUGGUUGGUGUCAAAAUGAAAACAUUUUCACCAUGAAGAUUUGUUCUUCAGGACUGGACCUGAACUUACUUUCAUUUGAUUUGAUUCAAUCAACCCAGUCCACUGUCCUUGUAGCUUCUAAUCUCCAAUUACAUUACUCGGCUUUG